AUGUGGAAGAGGAAGGAGAGGCCCUGAGGCUCCCAGAGGUGCCCAACGUCCCAGAGGUGCCAGGAGAGGACCUGAGGAUCCCAGAGGUGCCCAACGUCCCAGAGGUGCCAGGAGAGGACCUGAGGAUCCCAGAGGUGCCCAACGUCCCAGAGGUGGCAGGCGAGGACCUGAGGCUCCCAGAGGUGCCCAUUAUGCUACCAAUGUGACACACUUGACUAGGACAAGGGCUAACAUAAGACCGGCCCUGCGGCACGGGCACUAUCUCCCUUAAGAGAUGGACAAUAUAUUUUUUUACCUUAUAAAAAACAAGGUGUUGAUAAUGUAAAUAUGUAUUUUCACUGUGGUAUUAAAAUGGUAUGUAGUGCUCGAGCUAAUUAUAUAGGAAAAGGAAGAUGUUAAGAUAAUGAGUAUAAUGCCAACCCAGAGAUGGUGCUAGUGGGGCACCUAUCUAGGAUAUAUAAACAGGUGCAUUAUGAGUGUCUGAUUAGGAUGUCGUAACCUGUAACAUGUAAUACCUGAAUAAAGGAUUAUGCUUGCAUUUUA